UACGGAGGGAGCUAGCGUUGUUCGGAAAUACUGGGCGUAAAGCGCACGUAGGCGGCGCAGCAAGUCAGGGGUGAAAUCCCGGGGCUCAACCCCGGAACUGCCCUUGAAACUGCAGUGCUAGAGUCCGGAAGAGGCGAGUGGAAUUCCUGGUGUAGCGGUGAAAUGCGCAGAUAUCAGGAGGAACACCAAUGGCGAAGGCAGCUCGCUGGGACGGUACUGACGCUGAGGCGCGAAAGCGUGGGGAGCAAACAGG
rnacentral:rRNA from 1 species